CGAAUAAUGGUGACAAAACAGAAACGAAACCAAGAAAGGAAAAAGAGGAGAGACCGCGGGUGACGUCGGAACGGCUGGAUGUGGAAUGGGAGGAGUCGUUGGGAGAGUUGGAACGGUCGA
rnacentral:ribozyme from 1 species